rnacentral:rRNA from 1 species
CCUACGGGAGGCAGCAGUGGGGAAUAUUGGGCAAUGGGCGCAAGCCUGACCCAGCAACGCCGCGUGAAGGAAGAAGGCUUUCGGGUUGUAAACUUCUUUUCUGAGGGACGAAGAAAGUGACGGUACCUCAGGAAUAAGCCACGGCUAACUACGUGCCAGCAGCCGCGGUAAUACGUAGGUGGCAAGCGUUAUCCGGAUUUAUUGGGUUUAAAGGGUGCGCAGGCGGCGAGUUAAGUCAGCGGUAAAAUUUCGGGGCUCAACCCCGACAAGCCGUUGAAACUGGCUUGCUAGAGUGGGCGAGAAGUAUGCGGAAUGCGUGGUGUAGCGGUGAAAUGCAUAGAUAUCACGCAGAACUCCGAUUGCGAAGGCAGCAUACCGGCGCCCAACUGACGCUCAGGCACGAAAGCGUGGGUAUCGAACAGGAUUAGAUACCCGAGUAGUC